GUUUCCUCCAAGGGGGUGCCAGGGGGAGAUCUCUCCCCUCCCAGGGCCGGGUUCAGCAGUGUGAGAAUCCGCGGUGAUGAAUUGCCAGUCGCUGCCGUUAACAGGCUCGCCGAGCUCGGGGGGACCCCGAGGAGCGGGCAGGAGCGGACGGCGCUUCGCCCGCACAUCUCCAAUUGAAGCAGCUAUCGCAGAGCCGGAGCCUCUGCGCGGACUCGGUCGCAUCCUCCUCCCUCGCCGCCAACGCUGCGAUCGGGUAUGAUUUCUCGACCGGAGGGGAAAACAGAUGAAUAACCGUGCUGAGAGCUGCUCAGGAAGCUAACACGGAGAAAUGCUUCGGAGACGCCGCAUCUUUCCUACCGACUUUGUUUAAACUCUCCGUUCACCAGCCCCGCGGAAAGGCGAUGGGAAGAACAAAUGGAAGAGAGCGCGGAGGGAAAAGACCCGAGCCGCUUUCCAUUUUUAUUAAGUAAAAUAAUAGUUAUGCCUCCCCUACAUAAACG